UGGGGAAUAUUGCACAAUGGGCGCAAGCCUGAUGCAGCCAUGCCGCGUGUGUGAAGAAGGCCUUCGGGUUGUAAAGCACUUUCAGCGGGGAGGAAGGCGUUAAGGUUAAUAACCUUGGCGAUUGACGUUACCCGCAGAAGAAGCACCGGCUAACUCCGUGCCAGCAGCCGCGGUAAUACGGAGGGUGCAAGCGUUAAUCGGAAUUACUGGGCGUAAAGCGCACGCAGGCGGUCUGUCAAGUCGGAUGUGAAAUCCCCGGGCUCAACCUGGGAACUGCAUUCGAAACUGGCAGGCUAGAGUCGUGUAGAGGGGGGUAGAAUUCCAGGUGUAGCGGUGAAAUGCGUAGAGAUCUGGAGGAAUACCGGGGGCGAAGGCGGCCCCCUGGACAAAGACUGACGCUCAGGUGCGAAAGCGUGGGGAGCAAACAGG
rnacentral:rRNA from 1 species